GACAGAGGGUGCAAGCGUUGUUCGGAAUUAUUGGGCGUAAAGCGCACGUAGGCGGCUUACUAAGUCGGGUGUGAAAGCCCGGGGCUCAACCCCGGAAGUGCACCGGAAACUGGCAAGCUCGAGUCCCGGAGAGGGUGGUGGAAUUCCUGGUGUAGAGGUGAAAUUCGUAGAUAUCAGGAGGAACACCCGAGGCGAAGGCGACCACCUGGACGGUGACUGACGCUGAGGUGCGAAAGCGUGGGGAGCAAACAGG
rnacentral:rRNA from 1 species